GCUUUGGCUAAAGUGAAAAACUAAGAACUGACACUAGGUUUAAGCAUCCCAUGAGUCAUUGGUGGCCUUGGACCAGUCUUUUCAGGAAAAGAGGAUGAAAAUUACACUGGACCUGCUCUAAGAGAUCAUGACAGGUGACCAAUUGGAAAUAGCAAAUAUAGUCAGCGCUUUGCAAGGGUAGAGGGAAGAAGAGGAGAGGAGUUAAUUGUUUAUUUUGGUUUGGUGUUUCUUUGCUUUUGCUUUAUAAAGAUCAUUAUAAAAAUGAUUCAGUAAAAGGAAAGGAUUUCAGUAUAGGGAAGGGGUGUUUUAUUUGAAAAACAAAAUUCACAGAGGGUAUGAUAGCAGCCUUCCCACAUUUGAAGGAUGUCAUAUGAAAGGGAUUGGGCCCACUGGGUGUGUGGCCCUGGGCUAGACCUGAAAUCACUGCACGCAUGAGGUGUGAUGAGACAAAUUGGGUUCAGCACAUGAAAGUCAUUCCUGCAAUGGGUGCUAUCCCAAGGAAGGCUUUAGGAUGCAGUUACAUUUUCAUUAGUGGAGAUGCAUCUGUGAGUUAGGCUAGUAUUUCUCAACUAUUUUAUGUUUUCAGCACACUUUUGGUUAUAACAAUUUUGGUAGCUUAUUUGAAAAAACUCAAAGCAAUGUUAGCCAGUCAGCAGCAGUGAAAAUGGAUCAUGCUCCCAUGUGACAGUGACCUCAGAAGUACCCUCUGUUUUGUGCUGCCCUCUUGGUUGCCCAUUAGUGCCUCUUUGUUGCUUGAGCAGAAGUGCAUAGUGUUUUGAGUAAGGUUUCUUCUAUGCUGGAAAGGCAACAGUCCUGUUUUCCAGUAAAAAUGCACGUCCCUUUUUGUUGCUCACUGGUUAUACCAUUGCUCCUACUGGAAGAAAUUUGUGCCCUGCUUUCACUCUGCACAGGGUCAUAUCAGUUGUUAGGCUCACAAUUCAAUCUGACGCUAUAAAGGGCAUAUCAGUGAUAAUCUAAGGCAACAGAAUCCACUCUCCCCAGCAAGCACAAAGGGAUUUAAUACUGAUACAGGGAGUUAAGUGCUUACAGAGUCAUUGGAAGAGCCAGAGAGGCAACUAGUUUGAGCCCCUAGGAAUAGCUUGGAGCUCCCACAAUGCUCAGAUUUGCCAUGCUCAAGAAAGAAAGCUGCCACUUCCCAACAAGAAGCUAGUCAGGGCCAGGAAUGGAGCUCAGUGGUGGAGCACUUGCCUGGCACAGCAAGUCCCUAAGUUCAGUCCUCAUUACUGCAAAAGACCAAAACAAAACCAAGCUGAUUAAUCAAGAGGCCAGAGGCUGCUGCCACCUCUACCACUAACUCCAGAACCCCACUGUCAACUGGCCUGCCUCCCCAAAGCUGCCACUGCUACUUUAGACAGCUGCAGAAUCAAGAAGCUGCUGACCCCAGAACCACAAAAUCCUGUCACCAUCUGCAAAAGGUUGCCUUGUACCCUCUCUCUUGAUCUGCCUGGCUCCUUUCCAAACCACAGAUGUGUGAGGACCUCUAAUUCAUGGAAUCCACAUCCAUUGGGAACUCUAGCUUCAGAGGAGUCAAGGGCAGCUUAGUUUUGGCUUUCCAACUUGCACUGUGCAAGGGGGGUGAGGUGAGCAUGGAGCAAGUCACCCACUGUAUCGCCACGAGCAGUAUGUCUCUUCAGUCAUAGUGAAAGCAGCUUGGUCACAUGGAUGGGAAACUUGGUGGCACACUAGUCUAGGUGCCUCUGUGCCUUGGGGUGCCACUGCACAGCUGGCGCCCAUUCUUGGGAGCCAUCUUAUUGGGCAAAGAGGUAAAAAGGGGCACUUCAGCUUCAGAUGGAGGGCUGAGGUGGACUUUCCAGCCACAACUGCCAGUGACCUAUAGCACAAAUGGAAGUGAGGACAUAAGCUCCUGCCUUUCAUUUUAUGACCAGAGAGAAGCACUGCCAGCCAAGAAGUAUUUCCUAGCAUCCACUCUGUACCUAGAGCCUGGGUUAAUGUUUUGCAGGUGGUUGUCUGCACCCGUGUGCCUGGCAUAGUCCUCACAAAGCAGUAACCCAUUGGAGGUGAGAGAAGCAGGGAGAGGUCUGACCCAAGCUGCCAGUGACGUCACUCAGGGAAGGCACAUUGCACCUGUUCUCCCUAUUCCAAGGGAGUAGUUUCCCAGUGUUUUUGGCUUUCAUAAAUUUCAAUGAGUUAUUUACUCAUCAAACAAAUAUACACAGAACACCUCUGUGUGCUUGGUGCUGGGGAGACCAGGUGAACAAGGCAGAUGAGGUUCCUGCCCUUGUGGACUAGCAUUCUAGUGGAGAGCAGUGGACCAUACACCAACAGACAAGUGCAUAAUCAGGACAGCUUCAGACAGCGGUGAGUGCCAGGGAGUAGGAUGCUACAGGAUAAGGAGUGACCGAAUGUGGGGGGCAGAAUGUGUGCCAGGCCGAGUCAAAGACAGGCAGCUACUGAUGUACAAUGAGGUUAAGGUUGUUUCCAGCAAACAGGAGGAGGAAUGUGCAGGAUGCUGGCAGGUGGGUGUGGCUCUGAGAAGUUCCUCUCGGUCCAUAGGGAAAAUGGCAACUUCAGUGCUCAGGACAGUGAGCCAUCUGUCAAUCCAAGGAGCCUCGUAUGCCUUUUGUUGUGCCUGGAGAGCUGCCUGUUAGCACAGAGCCUCCUUUAGUGCUGCAGCUCUGUUCUUGCAUGGUCUCUUCCCCCACCUUGUGAGCUUUGCAGGCCUGACCAGGUGCCAUGGCUGCAGCUCUGUCUGGGGCUCCCAGAUGAGUUCUCAGUGGGCUGCUGUUGCUUCCUCACGGCGCUCGGCAGAGGCUACCUGUGAAACAGGCCAUGCUUCUCUUCACUCCCAUCACUUCAGACCCUUAAUCCUGAGACAUGAGGCACACAGGGCCUUGGGGAGCCGUGGAAGAGAAAAUGGUCAACUCUGCUCCUCAGAGCUUGGCAGUCCACAGGAACCCCAUGCACAGAAACAUUGCUCACAGGAUACCUUCAGGACCAUUCUUCCCUAAAGGACACCUUAGUUCUGUUCAUUUACAGAUGGAGGCAGCUCUGUCUAGGUCUGUGUUUACCUGUUUGCUAGUGAUGGGCAGGUCCACCUCAGCCCGCUCCUCUGAGCUGAUGUGUCCUCUCCUGGCCUGGGCUGGAGCUCUCGUCUCUAGGAGCAGGAAGGAUCUGGACACUGUGGGAAUAGGCCCUCUGUUUUCACUGACUCCCACACUUCCCUGGUCCACUGAAGCCCUGGUUGCUGUGAUGCUCUGCCCCUGUAGUAGGGCUUGCCUUGGUGUCCAGCUUUCCUCCCAAUUCAGGGCAGCAUGGCCACUCCAGAGAGGGUCUGGGUCCGCAUGAUCUCCCAUGACCCACGGCCCUUCUUUUGGUGGAUUCAUGUGUGCUUUUGCUUAACACCUUCCCAGAGUUUCAAGUAGUUCAGAAAUAAGAUACCCUUCUUUUCAGCCCUCUUCAGAUUGGGCCGCUGCUUUUUAGAAAGCUGGGGCAGUGAAAAGAAAAAGAAGAAGCCUGCCCAGUUCUCACCCCUCCAAGUAGGUUGUGUCAGGGUCAGACCCUCAGGACAUUCUUGCCCAUUUCCCUCCCACUACAUAACGUGCGGAGCCCCCGGGCUCUUUUGACAGCAUGUGCACAUAGCUGUGCAGCGGAGACCCUGGCCUUUCUCUUCUUUCAGUAACUGUCCUUCUUUCUAUUGAGCUGUUGUUGGCUUUUAUUUCCAUGAGCUCCAAAAAGUUUUGCAACUCUCCAAGAAGUUCUUCAACUGUUGAAAGACAAUAAAGAUAAAAUGUGUCAGAAGAUUAAAGGAAACAUACACUUUUUUUAAAUUAGAAAAUUAAAACAAGAAAAGAUAAGAGGCAAAAAGAUAAAUGGAUUAUAGUUAAUAGUGGGGAAACAGAAAUGUAGGUGAAGAAUUGAAGUGUG
rnacentral:lncRNA from 1 species